rnacentral:misc_RNA from 1 species
AAAAAAAGAAACAUCUCGUUUUCUAUGGCAUUGUCGCCUCCUCUAUCUUAAUACCCUCACAUGAAAUCAUCUUCGAGUUCUUGCAGGGACUUGUUGCUCGAAGCAAUCUGUUUGUUGGAGGUCAUCUUGUCCGAGUCCAUCAAUCCCUUGUAACUCCUUACCUCUGCCUGUCGCUCAUUUUCCAGUCUCGCUAACUCGUCCCGCCGCUUCUUGUUUCUCAUCUGAAGUUUUCUCUCCGCUCUUUCAGCUGCAUUCACAGAUUCUCGCUCAGCUUUCAAGUCUGGCUUUCUUUCAACCUUUGUCUUGUUCAAUCUAUUAACAAUCUCAUUAAUCCGUCUCUCUACCCUCACAGUGCGCACCAUCUUAUUAUUGUGAAAACUAACUUGCCCAACGUCCAUAGAAGGAGUUUUCUUCAAAUUAAACCACGGAGUAUAAACAACAUCGACAUUAUUCACCUUAUUCCCUUGAAUAGAGUUGGCUUUGACAAGCUGAGCACAGUCUUCCAAUAAACCUUCAUUUAUAUCAUCAAUUGUCUGGCCUUUGUUCAGUCUUAAAUAAACAUGUGCAGAGGACAUCUUAUCCACGUGAAACCAUAUAUCCUCCGGGAAUCCAUACUUGAUGAGCUCCUCGUUCUCGUGCUUGUCGAGACCCAUAAAGAUGACGUACUCGCCGGCAUCCGCCCGGGAUGACUUGAAGUAGAAAACCAUCGUCUUCUCGCCGAUUGAUGGGGGCGGAGUCAAAAAUUA